UAGCUCUUCAUCAAAUAUGAUUAAUCUGGGCUUGAUUCUUUGGCUACUUUCCUCGCUUACUCCAUCAUGGGAUUGAAACACAUUUAUUGCAGUAUUGGGUUUUCCAGGGAAGAAAGUUCAGAAGGAGGUUUGGAAAUAGCCACAGAAAGUCCUAAUUGGGGUGGUGGGCCAGGAUUUGACAGCAGAGCAGAACAGACAAAGCCAAAACAACCUUUGAGCAACAGGUCUUUGGUCUCACCAGGAGAAGGUUGAUUUGCCCUGUAAUGGGCCACUAUGGCUGAACUCUGGAGCUUUAAUCAGGUGGUCUGGCCCUUCAAUAGCACACUUAGGGUUGGGUUUCUCUUCCUCCUCUUUUUUCCCCUCCUCCUUUUUUUCCCUCCUCCCUUUUUUUCCCUCCUCCUCCCUU